rnacentral:misc_RNA from 1 species
UUGAUUUAAUUCAAAGUGUUACUCAGACGCAAAGAUGCAGAGUUAUGUGGUCCACCGGGGGCCCCAACGCCGAAAAUCGGCAGGGUCGCCCCCGAGGCAACAGAGUCGGAAUGCAUGGGGUUGGAGGUCGGGCCGGUGGGCCCUCACUCAGUAAUGAUCCCUCCGCAGGUUCACCUACGGAGA